GCCCGCACAAGCGGUGGAGCAUGUGGUUUAAUUCGAUGCAACGCGAAGAACCUUACCUGGUCUUGACAUCCACGGAAUUUGGCAGAGAUGCCUUAGUGCCUUCGGGAACCGUGAGACAGGUGCUGCAUGGCUGUCGUCAGCUCGUGUUGUGAAAUGUUGGGUUAAGUCCCGCAACGAGCGCAACCCUUAUCCUUUGUUGCCAGCGGUCCGGCCGGGAACUCAAAGGAGACUGCCAGUGAUAAACUGGAGGAAGGUGGGGAUGACGUCAAGUCAUCAUGGCCCUUACGACCAGGGCUACACANNUGCUACAAUGGCAUAUACAAAGAGAAGCGACCUCGCGAGAGCAAGCGGACCUCAUAAAGUAUGUCGUAGUCCGGAUUGGAGUCUGCAACUCGACUCCAUGAAGUCGGAAUCGCUAGUAAUCGUGGAUCAGAAUGCCACGGUGAAUACGUUCCCGGGCCUUGUACACACCGCCCGUCACACCAUGGGAGUGGGUUGCAAAAGAAGUAGGUAGCUUAACUNUNGGGAGGGCGCUUACCACUNGUGNNCAAGANCGGGGUGAAGUCGUAACAAGGNAACCNU
rnacentral:rRNA from 1 species